AUUGAACGCUGGCGGCAUGCCUUACACAUGCAAGUCGAACGGCAGCACGGGUGCUUGCACCUGGUGGCGAGUGGCGAACGGGUGAGUAAUACAUCGGAACAUGUCCUGUAGUGGGGGAUAGCCCGGCGAAAGCCGGAUUAAUACCGCAUACGAUCUACGGAUGAAAGCGGGGGACCUUCGGGCCUCGCGCUAUAGGGUUGGCCGAUGGCUGAUUAGCUAGUUGGUGGUGUAAAGGCCUACCAAGGCGACGAUCAGUAGCUGGUCUGAGAGGACGACCAGCCACACUGGGACUGAGACACGGCCCAGACUCCUACGGGAGGCAGCAGUGGGGAAUUUUGGACAAUGGGCGAAAGCCUGAUCCAGCAAUGCCGCGUGUGUGAAGAAGGCCUUCGGGUUGUAAAGCACUUUUGUCCGGAAAGAAAUCCAUGGCCCUAAUACGGUCGGGGGAUGACGUUACCGGAAGAAUAAGCACCGGCUAACUACGUG
rnacentral:rRNA from 1 species